UCUUACUAAGGAUAAAUGCAAAUGCCA
rnacentral:piRNA from 1 species